UACAUAGGGAGCAAGCGUUAUCCGGAAUGAUUGGGCGUAAAGCGUCCGCAGGUGGCAGUUCAAGUCUGCUGUCAAAGACCGGGGCUUAACUUCGGAAAGGCAGUGGAAACUGAACAGCUAGAGUAUGGUAGGGGCAGAGGGAAUUCCUGGUGUAGCGGUGAAAUGCGUAGAGAUCAGGAAGAACAUCGGUGGCGAAGGCGCUCUGCUGGACCAUAACUGACACUCAGGGACGAAAGCUAGGGGAGCGAAUGGG
rnacentral:rRNA from 1 species